CUGUCUGAAAUCUUUUAGAUCUGAGAAUUACUUAUGUUGUCCUUUGUUGUGUGCAACUGAUUUUUUUCUCUCUUUAAUAUACAAAGUAUCUGACGCCUGAUCAGCGAAGGCUAAAGGGGACCAGCAUGGAAUGGAAGAGAUUUGAAGAACAUUAAGUCUACAUGUAGGCCAGGCUUUCUUUUCUCCUUCUGUGCUGCGGAUCAUGGCUCUUUUCUCCUCUCCAUCAAUGCAAGAAGCACCUCCGCUAGACCUGUUCUUUUUGAUGGCAUGCUCUCACCUGUAGUCUCUUGUGGAAGUCUCAUGUGUUCCGAUUACAUUCUGUGCUGGAAUAUCUGAUAUUCUCUGUCCUUCAUACAACAUCUGUUUGCACUUAUUCUGUAUUGUGCUUAAUUGGCAUUGAUUAUGUUUUUGCAAGUGAAAAGUUUGUGAGCUUCUAGAAAUAUCAUGGAUAGAAAGUGGUACACCAGAGUAUGAAAGACAAAUUUGCUGAACUGUUUGACGGCUUUAAACUGAAUAAAUCUAUAAAGCAUCAAUGACCAC